rnacentral:rRNA from 1 species
CCUACGGGUGGCAGCAGUGGGGAAUAUUGGACAAUGGGGGGAACCCUGAUCCAGCCAUGCCGCGUGUGUGAAGAAGGCCCUCGGGUUGUAAAGCACUUUCAGUGAGGAAGAACGCCUGGUGGUUAAUACCCAUCAGGAAAGACAUCACUCACAGAAGAAGCACCGGCUAACUCCGUGCCAGCAGCCGCGGUAAUACGGAGGGUGCGAGCGUUAAUCGGAAUUACUGGGCGUAAAGCGCGCGUAGGUGGCUUGAUAAGCCGGUUGUGAAAGCCCCGGGCUCAACCUGGGAACGGCAUCCGGAACUGGCAAGCUAGAGUGCAGGAGAGGAAGGUAGAAUUCCCGGUGUAGCGGUGAAAUGCGUAGAGAUCGGGAGGAAUACCAGUGGCGAAGGCGGCCUUCUGGACUGACACUGACACUGAGGUGCGAAAGCGUGGGUAGCAAACAGGAUUAGAUACCCUGGUAGUC